GCUAACGUAGCUCAGUGGUUAGAGUGUCAGACUGAGCACUGAAAGGUCACCAGUUCAAUUCCAGUCAAGAGCA
rfam:Myotis brandtii contig172330, whole genome shotgun sequence.